UUCCGAUCUGGGAUAACGAAGCGAAAGCUUUGCUAAUACCGCAUACGAUCUACGGAUGAAAGCAGGGGACCGCAAGGCCUUGCGCGAACGGAGCGGCCGAUGGCAGAUUAGGUAGUUGGUGGGAUAAAAGCUUACCAAGCCGACGAUCUGUAGCUGGUCUGAGAGGACGACCAGCCACACUGGGACUGAGACACGGCCCAGACUCCUACGGGAGGCAGCAGUGGGGAAUAUUGCACAAUGGGCGCAAGCCUGAUGCAGCGACGCCGCGUGAGGGAUGACGGCCUUCGGGUUGUAAACCUCUUUCAGCACCGACGAAGCGCCAUUAAAGGCGGUGACGGUAGGUGCAGAAGAAGGACCGGCCAACUACGUGCCAGCAGCCGCGGUAAUACGUAGGGUCCGAGCGUUGUCCGGAAUUAUUGGGCGUAAAGGGCUCGUAGGCGGUCUGUCACGUCGGGAGUGAAAACUUACAGCUUAACUGUGAGCGUGCUUCCGAUACGGGCAGACUUGAGGUAUUCAGGGGAGAACGGAAUUCCUGGUGUAGCGGUGAAAUGCGCAGAUAUCAGGAGGAACACCGGUGGCGAAGGCGGUUCUCUGGGAAUAUCCUGACGCUGAGGAGCGAAAGUGUGGGGAGCGAACAGGAUUAGAUACCCUGGUAGUCCACACCGUAAACGUUGGGCGCUAGGUGUGGGGUCCAUUCCACGGAUUCCGUGCCGCAGCUAACGCAUUAAGCGCCCCGCCUGGGGAGUACGGCCGCAAGGUUAAAACUCAAA
rnacentral:rRNA from 1 species